AACGAACGCUGGCGGCAGGCUUAACACAUGCAAGUCGAACGCAUCCUUCGGGGUGAGUGGCAGACGGGUGAGUAACGCGUGGGAACGUGCCCUUCAGUUCGGGAUAACCCAGGGAAACUUGGGCUAAUACCGGAUACGUGCGAGAGCAGAAAGAUUUAUCGCUGAAGGAUCGGCCCGCGUCUGAUUAGCUAGUUGGUGGGGUAAUGGCCCACCAAGGCGACGAUCAGUAGCUGGUCUGAGAGGAUGAUCAGCCACAUUGGGACUGAGACACGGCCCAAACUCCUACGGGAGGCAGCAGUGGGGAAUAUUGGACAAUGGGCGCAAGCCUGUUCCAGCCAUGCCGCGUGAGUGAUGAAGGCCUUAGGGUUGUAAAGCUCUUUCGUCCGGGACGAUAAUGACGGUACCGGAAGAAGAAGCCCCGGCUAACCUCGUGCCAGCAGCCGCAGUAA
rnacentral:rRNA from 1 species